rnacentral:rRNA from 1 species
UGAGGAAUAUUGGUCAAUGGGCGAGAGCCUGAACCAGCCAAGUAGCGUGCAGGAUGACGGCACUAUGGGUUGUAAACUGCUUUUAUAUGGGACUAAAGUGAGGGACGUGUCCCUUAUUGCAUGUACCAUACGAAUAAGGACCGGCUAAUUCCGUGCCAGCAGCCGCGGUAAUACGGAAGGUCCAGGCGUUAUCCGGAUUUAUUGGGUUUAAAGGGAGCGUAGGCUGUUUGUUAAGCGUGUUGUGAAAUGUAGGAGCUCAACUUUUAGAUUGCAGCGCGAACUGGCAGACUUGAGUGCGCACAACGUAGGCGGAAUUCAUGGUGUAGCGGUGAAAUGCUUAGAUAUCAUGACGAACUCCGAUUGCGAAGGCAGCUUACGGGAGCGCAACUGACGCUAAAGCUCGAAGGUGCGGGUAUCGAACAGG